CAAUGUACCUGCAGUGCAACA
rnacentral:miRNA from 4 species